CAAUAGCGUAUAUUAAAGUUGUUGCGGUUAAAAAGCUCGUAGUUGGAUUUCUGCUGAGGACGACCGGUCCGCCCUCUGGGUGAGUAUCUGGCUCGGCCUUGGCAUCUUCUUGGAGAACGUUGCUGCACUUGACUGUGUGGUGCGGUAUCCAGGACAUUUACUUUGAGGAAAUUAGAGUGUUUCAAGCAGGCAUACGCCUUGAAUACAUUAGCAUGGAAUAAUAAGAUAGGACCUCGGUUCUAUUUUGUUGGUUUCUAGAGCUGAGGUAAUGAUUAAUAGGGAUAGUUGGGGGCAUUCGUAUUUAACUGUCAGAGGCGAAAUUCUUGGAUUUGUUAAAGACGGACUACUGCGAAAGCAUUUGCCAAGGAUGUUUUCAUUGA
rnacentral:rRNA from 1 species